CCUGAGGUACCACUGUAUUUAGAAAAAUCCUCUGAGUUGGAACCCUAGGCUCAGCCCUUGUAGGUUUCCUUGGUGAUUAACUUGCAGUGCUGCCCCUGAAUCCUCUGGCCUUGUUCUCACAUCAUAGUAAGCCAAACUGUGGUUUAUUGGGACCAUUUGAAUGUUGGGGAGAGGAGUUCACGGCUACUGUGCUGCUCCACAGUCUCUCUUGCUCCCAUGCCACACUGGCCUAGGCUAAAGUUUGACAUAACAUGCCGUGUGAACCCAGGCUUGCAGUUAAGCUCUCUUCUCUCUAAUAGCAAGCUGUCAACAAGACUCGUUCUUGGCUAAAACUUGUAGAGGAAAAGCUCUGAAAUGUACUUUAAGAGAAGAUGGAAUAAUUUAUGGUUCAGAGAAGCUGUUUCCAGUUCUCCAGACUCUCUACUUCACAAUUUGAUAAAAUGAAUACUUAUCUUAUUUGUUCACAAUAUGCAAUUUGCUCCUAUAAAACCUUUCUAAAAUAUAUUAAUAUAAAGGUAAAAUAAUCC